rnacentral:rRNA from 1 species
GACGAACGCUGGCGGCGUGCUUAACACAUGCAAGUCGAACGGAAAGGCCCUGCUUUUGUGGGGUGCUCGAGUGGCGAACGGGUGAGUAACACGUGAGUAACCUGCCCUUGACUUUGGGAUAACUUCAGGAAACUGGGGCUAAUACCGGAUAGGAGCUCCUGCUGCAUGGUGGGGGUUGGAAAGUUUCGGCGGUUGGGGAUGGACUCGCGGCUUAUCAGCUUGUUGGUUGGGUAGUGGCUUACCAAGGCUUUGACGGGUAGCCGGCCUGAGAGGGUGACCGGCCACAUUGGGACUGAGAUACGGCCCAGACUCCUACGGGAGGCAGCAGUGGGGAAGAUUGCACAAUGGGCGGAAGCCUGAUGCAGCAACGCCGCGUGCGGGAUGACGGCCUUCGGGUUGUAAACCGCUUUCGCCUGUGACGAAGCGUGAGUGACGGUAAUGGGUAAAGAAGCACCGGCUAACUACGUG